rnacentral:piRNA from 1 species
CACACUUUGUGAGGACUAACGGGAAGGAG